ensembl:lncRNA
UAAAACCACAUUAAGCUCUGUUGACCCUGAAACAUUGCAGGAAUGAUGAACUGCAGCUUUGUGACCGCGUGUGCUCCAUUUCUGGUCGGACCUUAGGAACCCACGUGCUAUUUCAUGUUCAAAAAUGUGCUCUUGGUACAAUGCUAGGGGUGAGGGAGGCUGACCUGCCCAAAAUCACAAAGAGAAUUAGAAGGGGAUGAAGAGGGAUGUGUAAACUAGGGUGGUGUUGUUGUGGAUAGCUGACCUAUAUAGCAAGGGAGAUAAAGCCUUUUCUUUUUUGAAAGAAAUCAGGUGUUAGAUCUGAGCUUGUGGUGGUUUUGCCUGAGCACAGCUAUUUCUGCAGAGACACCCUGGGGGAGCAGAAGGGAUUUGGAGCACGGUAGCAGUGCUUGCAGGGUUAGUGUGGUGAACCAUACUGAGAGCCUGAGCAGCUUGGCUGGAGCCUUCCAGAACUGCUCUGAGCAAUUUUAGCAUUGGGGUUUCUUCCUCUUGUUGGUAUCUAAAGAGUAACAGGCCAAUGAAACAAUUGUGGUUGCAACUUUUUUGAAAUGAGUUCACUUUUUCUGAUAACUUUUCAGAGUUGCUGAAGUUUUUCACCAGGAGGUAUUACUGAGCCAUCCUGCCUGGGUCCUCUGCCCUCCUGCCUGCGCUGGAAGUCAGUGUUCCAUCCUCUGAGCCCUCUGCUAUGAUGGCACCUGGGUGGUCAUUGGGCCCCCAUUUUGUUUCUUGAAAUCAACAGCAGAAGCAAAGCCAGGCUGAACAAAGAACUCCAAGGGCAGCAGUCCACAAGGGACAUAAAGAAAAUGCAGGUUCCCUUAAAAAGGAGCAGCUACUUUGAUUAGUUUGAAGCAGAAUAAAAGACCUAUAAAUGGGGAGAAUCCUGAAGAUGUCCUGGGAGAGGGGAAUUCGUGCCCUUAGAAUAGCUGCACGGAUGAAACAGAGGAUGAAAAAGCUUGAACACAAAUGUCUUGAUAAUAAACACAAAUGUGUUUAUUGCCAUGUAUUAAAGUGGGAUUUCUGCAGUUACAAUAAGAUGCUGCCAAAGAAGAAUGAUCUGUGGAAUACAAGUGAAUGCAGUGCUGAUGAGCAUCCCGAAGUCCCACAAGAGGUUAGAAAGAGCACAACCUGCAUUCUGUUUUUGAUCUCUGUUUUUAUCCCACAGCUGGGAGGGGACGACAGCAGGAGAAACGAGGGGCUGAUGGAGGGCUUCUCUCUGCUGUAGGGUGUUCUUGCUGCUCACUGAUCGUUUGUGUGGCUGCAUCCAGCCUGGAGGGCUGCAGAGAGAGUUUGCCUGUCAAUGUGUGGUAAUUAUUUCUACUCCUCUCCGGCUUUUUCCUAAUUGAUUAUUGGUUCUGCCUGCAAAGUGAAAGUGAAACAGACAAAGGAGGCAUUUAUCUUCGUCUUGUCUGAGAAAUUCCCGAUGGGCAAUGAAAGCAUUUCCACUGCCUGUUGGUGGAUCUUACACUCCCGCUCGCCAAACUCUUCUGCACAUGAAAAAAAAGCUGUAUUUGAGCAGUUCUACUAACAAGCUUCUUGGCUGCUGGCUGGAUUAAGGCAAAGUUAGGCUUUGUCUGAUCUUAAUUAAUCCCAGGCAGUGCUUCUAUUUCUGCCAUUGGCCGGUCGGGAGAGGGGGGUGGAUAGCCAGUGUGCUCUGACUGCAUCAUGCAGUGCCUGCUGCGUGAAGAUGUUACCUGUGCUGUAAACCUGUCAUGUUAUUCUUUGGAGAGGGGAAUUCUUACUUUCUAAUCCAUAUACUUACACAAAGCCGUUACUCCUCUUACAUACAAAGUGCUUCAUAAUCUCAUCUUCAGCCUUCAGGCAUAAAAAUAGCAAAGUUAUCCUACUCCAUACUUAACUACUUGUGAGUAUUGUUGGUAUCAAAUAUGAUUUUACUACGUGGAAGAUUACCUUCUGGUUAUCCUUCUCUUGAAAUAACGCGGGAAGAACGUCGGAUACAGAAUGAUUUCUGAAGUUUUGAAGCAGCAUUUACUGCUGCUUUAUACUGUGUGCAACUUCAGACAGCAGCAGCGACGUUACUGGGAGAGUCCCUCCGACCGCAGGGAAUUGGCACCCUAUUAAACCUCACUCUCAGCAGAGCUGAACUGGAAAUGUUACAGCACAGCCCUGUUUUUAUCUCCUGACGAGCGGUGAUCAGAACCAUGUUGCCACAGCCAGGCAGGGUUCUCCCCUUGUCUGUUUACACCCUCCUGCACUGAAUCCUUCAUCCGGUCUCAUCCACCCGCUGAUGUCCCCCUCGUUCCUCUCACAACAGGCUUGCUUUGGCUUUUAUCCCAGGGAAAGGCAGCGUUGCCAAGUCUCUCUGUGCUGAGCUCCUUCCAGUGAUCUGCUGUUGCAUGCUCAGCAUCUCACAUCCAUCGCAGCACUGCUUCCACCCCUCUGCUCCAGCCACGUGGAUGCUGCGGGCAGAGCAGCCCUGGGCAGCAGCAGCACAGGUGGGCACAGCACGGGGCGGGUGUCUGUGCCCUAAGGGUCUGUCCCUGUCAACUGCUCUCGGAAGGGCUGAUUGUGUGGCCUGACUGCAGUGGGGUCACCCAUCAGCUUGGUGUUACCACCCAGUGAAAUUGCUGGGGAAGGGUGGUGGUGCUUUUGUAGGGCUGAACUUGGACUGUGGCCAUUGCACGGUGGCAUGGUCUGUUCUGAGCAGCAGUGUGCACACACACUGGGUGACCAUGCAUGGCUGUAGUUCCCAAAGAUCAGACCGCAGUCUGUGCUGACAGAAGACACAAAGUCAAUUAAUGGAACUUUGUGCAGCCAUAAAUUCUCUCACCCUGUCAUCACAGAAUCACAGAAUGGCCAGGGUUGGAAGGGACCUCAAGGAUCAUGAGUCUCCAACCCCCUGCCACACGCAGGGCCACCAACCAUCCCACCUAAUGCUAGACCAGGCUGCCCAGGGCCCCAUCCAACCUGGCCUUGAACACCUCCAGGGACGGGGCAUCCACAGCCUCUCUGGGCAGCUGUUCCAGCACCUCACCACUCUCUCUGUAAAGAACUUCCCCCUGACAUCCACAACCUAAUAAAGAGCACCUUAACAAAAUUGUACA